GGAGGUGUCGCAUAGCUGGUCCAUUGCACAGGUUUGCUAAACCUGCGAGCCCAAAAGCUCACGUGGGUUCGAAUCCCACCACCUCCG
rnacentral:tRNA from 1 species